CACGUACCCUUUAUAAGGUCCCUGGCGGCGGCCUGUGUUCUCUUUCCUCCUGCGGCUGGGAUGGACUGUAAAAACAAAAAAGCUGACUGCAGUGAUUGGAGCUGCUCUGCAAGUAAUAAAGGAAGCUGGAGCUGACUCAAUGGUGCAGUUGAGUAUAAUACAGAAAGUUAUUCUUUCCCCUACUGUUCUGCAACUGGCAGUUUAAAUUGCAACGCCUGCUUUGUUAGAUGAACACUCAAAACACAACUGGUACAGCAGUAGUGGUUAUCGUGCUAUCCUAGAGUAAUCUCUCAAACGGUUUUAAAACUUCCUGAUUACUUCCUUUGGUCCCCCCAGAUG